UGCAAGUAAUAAGUGGCUGCCUUUGCCCUCUCGAACAUGGAGUUCAAGACCAGCACUGCCACAAUGAUUCCUGUUUACUGUUACCUGCAGCUUGACAUAGAAACACCUGGCAGACUGUACCGUGACCCUAUGAUAGGAGUUGGCAUCUUCAGUUUGUCCUAGGCCUUCUGCCAAGGGGACGUCAAGAGAGGGUGCUGCCUGUAUUGUGUGUUGUGCCAACCCCCUAAUCCCAGUGCAAGAAGCAGAAGCAUUCUGCAUAAUAUCGUAGCAGGGCUCCUGCAGCUCGCCCUCCUGCUUGACAUGCUCCUCCAUGUCAAGGUCGUGGAAAGACAUGAAAAGCUGCCACAGAUCCGGGAGGUUAGAGGAGAGACAACAGCUGAGUGCCAGGUGGCCUCCUGGCCGAGAUCCUGGAACAGAGCAAAAAAGAACCGGUGAAAGCCACAGCUAAGUCUGGAUUUUGCUGAAUAGCAGCAAGCAGGAAAAUUAGGUUCACCAUGUACUUGCAUCAUUGCAUUGUUGGUGUGCUGAUCCGGGGACUUCAAACGCUGUUUUCUUCUGAUCCUAAAAGGUCAGUUCUCUCAACUGUGCAUGAAACUAUUAUCUCUCCCGCCAUGAAUGAAAGGAUCUCCAUCAGGCAGAUGCAGCUAUAAGCUGAUGUUUGUGAAGACUGCAGAGUAUCA